rnacentral:tRNA from 1 species
CGCGGUAGCUCAGAUGGUUAGAGCGUCGGAUUCAUAACCCGGAGGUCGGGAGUUCAAUUCUCCCCCGC